CUGUGACAGCUUAGACUUCGGUCUUUGCAAUUGCUUGGGUGUCGAAAGGCGCCCAAUCUUUAAAACUUUUAUAUUUGUUCUGAAACAAUGAAAAUUUAAAACUUUCAACAACGGAUCUCUUGGUUCUCGUAUCGAUGAAGAACGCAGCAAAGCGCGAUAGGUAAUGCGAAUUGCAGACGUGAGUCAUUGAAUUUUUGAACGCAUAUUGCGCUAUUAGUUUGUCUAAUAGCAUGCUUGUUGGAGUGAUAAUCUUCCUCUCAACCAUUUUUGGUAUGAGGUCUUGCUCCUUUUAGGAGUUAAAAUCAUGGAAGUGCACACGUUAAUUAACUCUGUGCAGUUAUACACUUUUCAUCCUCCAAUCAAGCAAGGUUACCCGCUGAACUUAAGCAUAUCAAUAANCGGA
rnacentral:rRNA from 1 species